UACGUAGGGUGCGAGCGUUGUCCGGAAUUAUUGGGCGUAAAGAGCUUGUAGGCGGUUUGUCGCGUCUGCUGUGAAAAUCCGGGGCUCAACCCCGGACUUGCAGUGGGUACGGGCAGACUAGAGUGUGGUAGGGGAGACUGGAAUUCCUGGUGUAGCGGUGAAAUGCGCAGAUAUCGGGAGGAACACCGGUGGCGAAGGCGGGUCUCUGGGCAGUAACUGACGCUGAGGAGCGAAAGCGUGGGGAGCGAACAGG
rnacentral:rRNA from 1 species